rnacentral:misc_RNA from 1 species
AACGCAUAUUGCACUCUUUGGCAUUCCGAAGAGUAUGCCUGUUUCAGUAUCAGUAACAUCUCAAAUACACAAAAAUUUUGUGAAUUUUGGUUAUGAGCUUGCUUUUCUUUGGAAAAUCUGGCUUGAAAUUUAUCUAUAGCAGGACUCGAGUUUUAUACCGAGUAAAAGGCGUAAUAGUUGACUUUAGUCAUCUUCGCUGAAAAAACUUGGUUCGGGGCUGCUAUAUUGCAGGAAACAAACAAGAAAUAUUUUCAUCCUUCUAGGAUUGAGAAAUCUUGUUCAACUUGAUCUGAAAUCAGGUAGGACUACCCGCUGAACUUAA